rnacentral:rRNA from 1 species
GAUGAACGCUGGCGGCGUGCCUAAUACAUGCAAGUCGAGCGAACGGACGAGAAGCUUGCUUCUCUGAUGUUAGCGGCGGACGGGUGAGUAACGCGUGGAUAACCUACCUAUAAGACUGGGAUAACUUCGGGAAACCGGAGCUAAUACCGGAUGAUAUUUUGAACCGCAUGGUUCAAAAGUGAAAGACGGUCUUGCUGUCACUUAUAGAUGGAUCCGCGCUGCAUUAGCUAGUUGGUAAGGUAACGGCUUACCAAGGCAACGAUGCAUAGCCGACCUGAGAGGGUGAUCGGCCACACUGGAACUGAGACACGGUCCAGACUCCUACGGGAGGCAGCAGUAGGGAAUCUUCCGCAAUGGGCGAAAGCCUGACGGAGCAACGCCGCGUGAGUGAUGAAGGUCUUCGGAUCGCAAAACUCUGUUAUUAGGGAAGAACAUAUGUGUAAGUAACUGUGCACAUCUUGACGGUACCUAAUCAGAAAGCCACGGCUAACUACGUG